UACGUAGGGGGCAAGCGUUGUCCGGAUUUCCUGGGCGUAAAGAGCGCGCAGGCGGUCGUUCAAGUCGCGUGUGAAAGCCCCCGGCUCAACUGGGGAGGGUCACGCGAUACUGAUCGACUCGAAGGCAGGAGAGGGAAGUGGAAUUCCCGGUGUAGUGGUGGAAUGCGUAGAUAUCGGGAGGAACACCAGUGGCGAAGGCGGCUUCCUGGACCAGAGCUGACACUGAGGCGCGAAAGCGUGGGGAGCGAUCCGG
rnacentral:rRNA from 1 species